GCAAUAAAGAGUAUUAUUAAUUCUAUCGUGUACAAUAUGCAAUAUUAUACAUAAUUAAACGACCAUGCUACGUACAAAGACUUAGGUUAUUUAUUACAUAUUAUACGGUUAGUAAUAAAAUUUCAAAAUAUUUAACAAAAUACUCUCCAACACACACGAUAUGAAAUUCAAAUUUUCCAUGCUAAAUAUUCGAAUACUUUCCUGAACCAAUGUAUCUAUAUACGUUGGCAUAAUAAUCGUUAACGCAAUGACUAUUUAUGCUAUCCUUAAAAGAAUUAAUACACAUACAGUAUAGAUGGAAAAAUUUGUCAAAUACUUUCAUGACCCAGUAUACGUAGACGCGACAAUUGGCAACGCGAAGACGUUAUAUUAUUCUGAAAAAUUGAUAUACUGACAGAGCUAUUAAAAUGCAAUCUAUCACACGAAACGCAGCCAGUCGGCUAAAUCGGCGAGACGAAUAUACAGGAUAUUUGUAGUCCACUAUUAGAAGAACGGAAGAAGUCGAGAAGCGAAUACCUAUUAUAGGUAGUACGCGAUGCGUGACUAAUGGCGGCAGCCGUAAAAAGAAUCAUGCGAGAUGCUAGGAAUUCAUUCAGAGAAGUCGAACGCAUUAACGUUGCACCGCGAUAGCGCUUUAAUAACAGGCGAUCCAAGGUCGAUAUGGCUCCGCCACUGUGAAAUGUUCAAUGUUCAACGAUUUCACUGCGUUCCAACCUGCAAGCAACUGGCCGCCAGUUUUAUUUACGCUACCGCCAUUUUCUGGACCUCUUAAAAUUGCUCUGCUCUUAGUAAAUUGUCCGAGACCAAAUCAAAGCUUUCUUCCUGAUGGUAAACCGCGCUGAAUUCACGGGCAGGCUGUUACCGUUGAAAGUAAUUCGAUCGAAUGGACGUUGGUUAUUUUCGCUCUAGGGAAUUCCGUUCUAGGGAAUUCUUGGGAAAAUUCCUUUGGUGCAUGGCAUUGUUACAUCGUAGUUAAGAUACUGUAUGGAAUAUAAGUUUCGUUGAGAGUUAAAUAAGUAUAAUUAAAUAACUAGGCAACAGCUAGGUUAAUAGUUAAAUAGCCUGAUAAAAGAAGUACGUGAACAUAUGUGUAUCGGAAGCAAAUAGGAAUAACAGUUGCAAAACAAAUCCCUUUUCAGGACCAGGAAUUUACUAAGUAAAUUAUUAUUAUACGUUUCUUCGAUGAUGAUAUCGAGGUUAUGUCUAACCUCAGUAACGUUAUACCAAAGAAUAAUAAUAUCACUAUAAUGUACAAGCUAUGGAAAUUUCUUUUCAGGAGAAGUCUUGGAAAAUCGGAUUAAAAUAUUACAUAGAAACAAACAUAAAUACUGUUGCUGCAAAGGUACUUUUAAGCAAAUCUUUAUAACGGUUAUAAACAACGAAACACGACCUAAGUACAUAAAAGUUAUCGACACUAAGAAAAGAGAGCCAUAAAUCUAAAGUACACAAACAAACUAAAAAUAUUGCCGAAUACUGAUGACCUUAAUUAAAUUGGUCAAAAUUUUAAUCUUCUAUAAUCUCAAUAUUCUAAUUCUAAUUUUCCAAAAUUGCCAUCUCCCAACAUUUUCAUUUUUCGAAGAUCUCUGCAACCUUUAAAUCAAUGGAACACAGUACAUUUCGAUGUUUAGACGGUUUUAUUGCAAAACGACAGAUUGUAUAUCAAAAUGAGUCAUGGAUCAAAAUCAAGAUCAAGCUGAUGUGAACGUAAAUAUUUUUCUUGAACGAAUUGAAUGUAAGUCUUGAAUGUAAAGCCAGUAACGUUAAACACAGUAGCAUUUAGAAAAGGAUAGUAAAUGUAUAUCCUGCUGCUACCGUGAAAAGCUGAGAUCAGCAAAUUCGAAGAUAAGAAAUAAACCACAUGGCUGGUCAAGAAACGUUAUGAGUAACAUUCGAAUAAAAAUCUGCCAUCGAGUCUGAGUGCAACACCUCAAAGUGCACGACGCAUAAAUUAAGUGUGUGUUACGCAACAGUUUCUCGUCACCUAUAAGCAACAGAGAAUACUAAUAGCUUGAACUAAAAAAUAUAUACCGUCCUGAUAAUUAUAAAUCUACAAGUUCUCAUCGAAGAUCCCCUUAAGAUGAAAUUAAUUUAAAAAUAAAAUCGAAUGACAUUUAAUUAGAAAUUUGGAAGCUUCAUAAAAUGAAAUUUCCAUUCUACUUAUACAUCACUCAAAAAUCUCUAAAUUUGUUUUUUAAUUAAACAAACCUGGAGGUUCUUACGUAAGACCUCUGAAAAAAAAAAAUAUUUUUAAUUCGUGAAUAAACGUUGUUAUUUAGAAUGAGAACUGAAAUUCUCGGAUCAGACGAGGAAGCACGAGGCGCCUGGCCCAGAAACGAGACCAGAGGUCGGUGAUACGUGGAUCGCUGGUCAAAGAUCUCUGCUCAUGUGGCGUGCCACGAGGAAACGACUACCGCAACGCUUGUCCGGCCUCGUUGGAUCGUUUAGCGUCGUUCACGAGCGAGCCUUAAUCACGGUGACCUCGUGCCACUGUUUACGAUCCGCGAGUCGUCACAGUGCUGAUUCGACGUCAUCAAUUUUACCUUUCGUCGCACCACAACUCCGCAAAGUCAUUUUUUAUUAGUCUCGUGCAACGUAGUAUACGUGAUUAGAAUCUACUUGCCAAUAGUGCCGAUAGAAUAGAACUUGUUGAACUAAAAAGUUCAAUUAUUAUUUUGUGACCUAUCGAAUCUGACAAAUUGUCAAAUUUCACAUCGUUUAGACUUUUAUUUCAAAAAUUCUAUACCUUCGUAUCACGCGUUUUUAUAUUUGAAAGUAGGCUAAAAUAAAGUAAAAUAAAAAUGAAUAU